rnacentral:rRNA from 1 species
CGCUGGCGGCGUGCCUAAUACAUGCAAGUCGAACGGUCUUUCUAUGGAAGCUUGCUUCCACUGAGAAGAUAGUGGCGAACGGGUGAGUAACACGUGGGUAACCUGCCCAUAAGAGGGGGGAUAACAUCCGGAAACGGGUGCUAAUACCGCAUAGUUUUCUUGAUUGCAUGAUCGGGAAAGGAAAGACGGCCUUUGUGCUGUCGCUUAUGGAUGGACCCGCGGCGUAUUAGUUAGUUGGUGAGGUAACGGCUCACCAAGACGAUGAUACGUAGCCGACCUGAGAGGGUGAUCGGCCACAUUGGGACUGAGACACGGCCCAAACUCCUACGGGAGGCAGCAGUAGGGAAUCUUCCGCAAUGGACGAAAGUCUGACGGAGCAACGCCGCGUGAGUGAAGAAGGUUUUUUCGGAUCGUAAAACUCUGUUGUCAGAGAAGAACAAGUUGGAGAGUAACUGCUCCAGCCUUGACGGUAUCUGACCAGAAAGCCACGGCUAACUACGUGCCAGCAGCGGC